GUAUCAGAACGACAUAUGUGUCUUCCAUACACAUUAAAAAGGUAUGAGAAGGUAUUGAAGAAAUUAGCUCGUAACCUUUUGCAGUGUUUACUUCUUAGAUACGUUUGUUCAUACAUCGGGUUUAUGUGUUAUUCCAUCUAUUACAAGGAAGUUGGAAGGUGGAGAAUCAAGGACCAACUGUGGACACGUGGCCAGAUGUAGGGGCAUUGGCGGAGGUUGGGCCGAAGGAAGGGACGGCGGAGGAAGAGGACCUGGAGGAAGGGGUCCGGGACAGCCUGUGUUCGUCGGAGCUAAAGGCGGCCACACGGUGCCAUCUGUCAGACAAUUGAUUAGAUUUAACUGGAAUGUUUUAACUAGAUCACACAAACAU
rnacentral:lncRNA from 1 species